GAUGAACGCUGGCGGCGUGCCUAAUACAUGCAAGUCGAGCGAACGGACGAGAAGCUUGCUUCUCUGAUGUUAGCGGCGGACGGGUGAGUAACACGUGGAUAACCUACCUAUAAGACUGGGAUAACUUCGGGAAACCGGAGCUAAUACCGGAUAAUAUUUUGAACCGCAUGGUUCAAAAGUGAAAGACGGUCUUGCUGUCACUUAUAGAUGGAUCCGCGCUGCAUUAGCUAGUUGGUAAGGUAACGGCUUACCAAGGCAACGAUGCAUAGCCGACCUGAGAGGGUGAUCGGCCACACUGGAACUGAGACACGGUCCAGACUCCUACGGGAGGCAGCAGUAGGGAAUCUUCCGCAAUGGGCGAAAGCCUGACGGGGCAACGCCGCGUGAGUGAUGAAGGUCUUCGGAUCGUAAAGCUCUGUUAUUAGGGAAGAACAUAUGUGUAAGUAACUGUGCACAUCUUGACGGUACCUAAUCAGAAAGCCACGGCUAACUACGUG
rnacentral:rRNA from 1 species